rnacentral:rRNA from 1 species
UACGUAGGGGGCAAGCGUUGUCCGGAAUCAUUGGGCGUAAAGAGCGUGUAGGCGGUCCGGUAAGUCGGCUGUGAAAGUCCAGGGCUCAACCCUGGGAUGCCGGUCGAUACUGCCGGACUAGAGUUCGGAAGAGGCGAGUGGAAUUCCUGGUGUAGCAGUGAAAUGCGUAGAUAUCAGGUGGAACACCGAUGGCGAAGGCAGGUCUCUGGGCUGACACUGACGCUCAUGCACGAAAGCGUGGGGAGCAAACAGG